GGCUCAGAUUGAACGCUGGCGGCGUGCUAACACAUGCAAGUCGCGCGUGAAAGGACUUCGGUCCGAGUAAAGCGGCGCACGGGUGAGUAACGCGUGGAUGAUCUACCCAUGAGUUAGGAAUAACGGCUGGAAACGGUCGCUAAUACCAAAUACGCUCCGAUUUCAACUUCGGGGGAAAGGUGGCCUCUGCUUGCAAGCUACUGCUCAUGGAUGAGUCCGCGUCCCAUUAGCUAGUUGGUGGGGUAACGGCCCACCAAGGCGACGAUGGGUAGCCGGUCUGAGAGGAUGACCGGCCACGCUGGGACUGGAACACGGCCCAGACUCCUACGGGAGGCAGCAGUGGGGAAUAUUGCGCAAUGGGCGAAAGCCUGACGCAGCGACGCCGCGUGAGGGAUGAAGGUCCUCGGAUCGUAAACCUCUGUCAGGAGGGAAGAACCGCCACGGUGCUAAUCAGCCGUGGUCUGACGGUACCUCCAAAGGAAGCACCGGCUAACUCCGUGCCAGCAGCCGC
rnacentral:rRNA from 1 species